UGGGGAAUAUUGGACAAUGGGCGAAAGCCUGAUCCAGCCAUGCCGCGUGUGUGAAGAAGGUCUUCGGAUUGUAAAGCACUUUAAGUUGGGAGGAAGGGCAGUAAGCGAAUACCUUGCUGUUUUGACGUUACCGACAGAAUAAGCACCGGCUAACUCUGUGCCAGCAGCCGCGGUAAUACAGAGGGUGCAAGCGUUAAUCGGAAUUACUGGGCGUAAAGCGCGCGUAGGUGGUUCGUUAAGUUGAAUGUGAAAGCCCCGGGCUCAACCUGGGAACUGCAUCCAAAACUGGCGAGCUAGAGUAGGGCAGAGGGUGGUGGAAUUUCCUGUGUAGCGGUGAAAUGCGUAGAUAUAGGAAGGAACACCAGUGACGAAGGCGACCACCUGGGCUCAUACUGACACUGAGGUGCGAAAGCGUGGGGAGCAAACAGG
rnacentral:rRNA from 1 species